GCUCAUGAAUAUUGCAACAGAUUUCGGAGCCAUAAGACCGGCCCCUUGCACCAACGCGGCCACGUUCAGCAUCUACCGGGGCAACAUCUCACAUCGCUUUCAUCAGACUUCUUUGGUCGGUGACUGGGGUCGGCUUGAUUUGGACCGGACCUUUUCUUAUUUUGGGAAGGAAAAAUGGCUUUGAGGGGGCCUCUGUUCCGUCUUCUCAGAACUCAACUCAGCCACACUUGCCAGCAAAGCAGAGCUCAGUCCGUGGCUGUGCUGGGAGCUCCGUUUUCGAGAGGACAAAAAAGGAGAGGUGUGGAGCACGGCCCUAAAGUCAUCAGAGAUGCGGGACUCAUCGAGAGGCUCUCCGGUUUAGACUACUCUAUCCACGACUUUGGCGACCUCAACUUCCACCACCUCGAGAAGGACGAGCCCUACAUGGAUGUGAAGUUCCCUCGCACUGUGGGUGCAGCAAAUAAGAUGCUGUCUGGUGCAGUAAGCAGAGCUGUAGGUGCUGGGCACACCCUCGUCAUGCUUGGAGGUGAUCACAGCCUUGCUAUCGGAUCAGUGAGUGGCCAUGCCCAGCAGUGUCCCGACCUGUGUCUCAUCUGGGUUGAUGCUCAUGCAGACGUGAACACGCCCAUGACCUCUCCAUCAGGAAACCUCCACGGCCAGCCUGUGGCAUUCAUGCUCAAAGAGCUGCAAGACAAGAUGCCAAGUAUCCCAGGGUUCUCCUGGACGAAGCCAUUCCUCUCUUCGAGGGACCUGGUGUACAUCGGUCUGCGGGAUGUUGACCCUGGAGAGCACCAGAUCCUGAAGAACCUGGGUAUCCAGUACUUCACCAUGAGGGAUAUUGACAGACUAGGCAUCCAAAGGGUUAUGGAAGUCACUUUUGACCAUCUUUUGGCAAGAAAACAGCGACCGAUCCACUUGAGCUUUGACAUCGAUGCUUUUGACCCAUCUCUGGCCCCUGCCACAGGAACACCAGUGAACGGAGGUUUGACCUACAGGGAGGGAAUCUACAUCACAGAGGAAAUCCAUAACACAGGCCUGCUGUCAGCUAUGGACCUGGUAGAAGUAAACCCCGUGCUGGGGGCCACCCGUGAAGCCGUGGAGGCCACCGCCUCUUUGGCGGUCGACGUCAUCGCGUCGUCCCUUGGACAGACGAGAGAAGGGGCUCACACAUCCAUCGACGAGAUUCCGUCUGUGAAGGACGACACAGAGCAGCUCCGCCUCUGAGAGCACAGAGCAAAACUGAACUUUAUGAACAUCAUCCCUCAGCAUUCCACAAUUUUGAAUACAAAGCUGCAAAGACUGAAUCUAAUAGCUCAAGUUUUCAACUUUUUCUUCCCAUCUCUUUGCUGUUAAGUGUGAUGUUUAACCACGAAAAAAAAGGUCUGGAUUUAUAAAACCUGUGAGAGGGCUUUACAGAAAUAUGGUACAGGUUCACACAGAUAAUGCCAAGAGAAAAGCCUUGGAUGUAAUUUAGAAACCACUACACUUCUUGAUGGGACUACUACUCAUUUUAACAGCAAUACUAACUUAUUUUGCUCCUGUUUGUACAGUAAUAAGUUAUGUGUUAGAGGACAUAGCUGCCACAUAUUUAUUAUGUAGUCGGUUUACAAGAGAAUGAACCUGCCUCAGAGGUAUGAUAAACCAAGUCUGACUUAGUUUGAAGUCCACAGUCUAACAUGGACUCCCAAAACUGUUUUGUGGCUGUGCCAGUUAGUAAAAACUAGUAAUGAUGUGUUUGCACUUUUGGACCAGGUGUGGUUACUGUUUUUUUUCUUUAGAGUUUACUUUUGUAUUUACACAGUGAACCUACCAGUACAUGUACAAGAAUUACUUUGUUUGAAUAUUUACUGACUACACCAGUAUUAAUUGGCUUGAAAAGCAGCUUUUCUCUCAAAUGCUGGCAAAGAAAACAAAAAAAAAAAGCAUAAUUCAGCUUGAAUUGAUCUAAUGCCUGGUCUGUAUUUGACUUGAUGUGGCCACUGAAUCCCUUGUCGUUCUAACAGAGUUUAUAUUUUGGUCUUCCAUAAAUGUGAUUGCAUUUUU